rnacentral:misc_RNA from 1 species
AAAUUAAAAAGAAAAAAUAAAAAGAGAAGUCCCCAUGGAGAAACCAGCCCCGCCCCUCUCCCAACGGGGAAGUCCUUGCCCCGACCUAGAACUCUUAUGGGGUGGGGAGGAGGGGACCCCCGACCCACCCCGUUGCCAUUCCUAUCCAGAAGCAAACUUGAAUUGAAUCUUGCAUAAGGGAUAAGAAAUACGCAUUAAACAUCUGUUGUUUUUAUCUUUUGUUAUAAGAAAAGACUUUGUCCCAACUUCAGAGAGGCGCAUUUCCUUUAGUUAGCAUUUCUGUGUGUAAAAGAGCUGCCUAAAUUGAAAGUUGCCAAGUUCCUGGAUAGGCAAUCUCAAGAGUCCCACAUAUAAAGAUUACAAAGAAUUCAAAGGGCUUAAAGGGUGAAGGACUAGCUACCUAAUUGCUUAAUUCUAACCUAAACCCAUCUCACUUGUUAUGGACUCUUGACUCGGCCCAUUCACUUGCCUCUGCCCAUUUAAUUCAAGUUUGUGAUAGGCAAGAACACAAGCAUGGAAAAAGGGAUUUGUGAAUGGUUGAUUAACGCUUUGCAAGUCCUCUCAAUUUUUAUUGCAAUAGUUUUUUUAUCCCACAACAGCAGUAAUAUCUUUAGAAAGUCAUCUACAAUUAAAAAGUCCAGUAUUACAACGCAGCAAAUCAAUACAGUGCUCCGGGAUAUUGUCAGAUGCUUGUAAUCAGAUUUCCUAUUUACUUAUCUAUAUUUUCCUCUCGAUCCUUUCCCCUAUAUCUACCUUGUUCACUCUUUCCUUCCCAAUUCAACCUUCCCAUAAAACUAAUUUCUGGUAAAUUUUACCAUGGACAGUAUAAUGUUAACUGGUCAGAGUUUUAAUCCUUGUUGAUUAAUUUUGGCAACUAAUUAAACAACAAUAAAACGUAUGGAGUAAACGACAUAGUAGGCACCUGCAG